rnacentral:rRNA from 1 species
UACGUAGGGUGCGAGCGUUAAUCGGAAUUACUGGGCGUAAAGCGUGCGUAGGCGGUCCGCUAAGUCUGAUGUGAAAGCCCCGGGCUCAACCUGGGAACUGCAUUGGAAACUAGCGGGCUGGAGUGUGGCAGAGGAGACUGGAAUUCCUGGUGUAGCAGUGAAAUGCGUAGAUAUCAGGAGGAAUACCGAUGGCGAAGGCAGGUCUCUGGGCUAACACUGACGCUCAUGCACGAAAGCGUGGGGAGCAAACAGG